UGUUUUGUGGCUUAGUUGGUUAAAGCGCCAGUCCAGCGCAUACGGAGUCGGGGGUUCGAAUCCCACCAGAACGC
rnacentral:tRNA from 1 species